rnacentral:rRNA from 1 species
UGGAUUAGUGGCGAACGGGUGAGUAACACGUGGGCAAUCUGCCCUUCACUCUGGGACAAGCCCUGGAAACGGGGUCUAAUACCGGAUAACACUCUGUCCUGCAUGGGACGGGGUUAAAAGCUCCGGCGGUGAAGGAUGAGCCCGCGGCCUAUCAGCUUGUUGGUGGGGUAAUGGCCUACCAAGGCGACGACGGGUAGCCGGCCUGAGAGGGCGACCGGCCACACUGGGACUGAGACACGGCCCAGACUCCUACGGGAGGCAGCAGUGGGGAAUAUUGCACAAUGGGCGAAAGCCUGAUGCAGCGACGCCGCGUGAGGGAUGACGGCCUUCGGGUUGUAAACCUCUUUCAGCAGGGAAGAAGCGAAAGUGACGGUACCUGCAGAAGAAGCGCCGGCUAACUACGUGCCAGCAGCCGCGGUAAUACGUAGGGCGCAAGCGUUGUCCGGAAUUAUUGGGCGUAAAGAGCUCGUAGGCGGCUUGUCACGUCGGAUGUGAAAGCCCGGGGCUUAACCCCGGGUCUGCAUUCGAUACGGGCUAGCUAGAGUGUGGUAGGGGAGAUCGGAAUUCCUGGUGUAGCGGUGAAAUGCGCAGAUAUCAGGAGGAACACCGGUGGCGAAGGCGGAUCUCUGGGCCAUUACUGACGCUGAGGAGCGAAAGCGUGGGGAGCGAACAGGAUUAGAUACCCUGGUAGUCCACGCCGUAAACGUUGGGAACUAGGUGUUGGCGACAUUCCACGU